CUUAAGGCCAGGCUGGUCUCCUGAGUGCUACCCUGUGCUCUGUCCCUCCUAGUCAACAGGGAGGCAUUAGAGCUUACGUCCUGUGGGAAGACAGGGUGCAGAGGGUGGUGCUGCCACCUACUAGAUGUUGUAAGCUUCAGUUGAUCAUCUGUAAAAUGUGGAUAAUAAUGGUACUUACUCUCAAGAUCGUCAUGAGGCCUAAAUGAAACAAUCCACAGAGUUUGAUAUAUAAGUGCUCAGUAUAUAUAUUUUUUAAAUGUGUUGAGUGUGUGUUCGAUUUGUUAAAAUUUUUAAAUGUUUAUUAUUUUUGAGAGAGAGAGAGAGAGAAAGAGAGAGUGCAUGAGUAGGAGACGGACAGAGAGAGAGGGAGACACAGAAUCUGAAGCAGGCUCCAGGCUCUGAGCUGUCAGCACAGAGCCUGAUGUGGUGCUUGAACUCAUGGACCAUGAGAUCAUGACCUGAGCCAAAGCUGGAUGGUUAACCAACUGAGCCACCCAGGCACCCCAGGUCCUCAGUAGAUAUUAACAAUUAUUGUACUGUCCUAGCCCAUAUUUUAUUGGAUAUAGGGGAGGCAAAUAAAAGAGAUUCCCUACUAGCAUGUCAGUUGAGGAUCUGCAUUUCCUCAUUUUUGUAUCUUAAAUCGGCAACCCCAAAAGUUCAUUUGUUUUAUCAUACAAUAUAGUGUUUUGUUUCCUGGAAAUAGAAAGCUUGCUAGGAGCAGUUCUGACAGUUAAAGAUUAAGGUGUGUGUGAGUGGUGUGUACCAUUUACUUGAUAUUUUGCAGAAAGUUUCUUACUGUCUGCUUUUGGUAAUGAGACCGUGUUGGUGGAGGGAUUCCAUGAAGAUUGGAGACUUCUGGCCUAAGACCACUGAAAGCCCAGGGCAGAGAUGGAGACAAAGAGAGGUGGAUUCUUUUAGGUUUUGCCUGACACUGGCAAAAACUUGGGCUGGGACAGAGACUGGAUAUUUGUUGCAUGAGUCAUGGAGAGUGAAAGAUGGGUGAUACCAAGCACAAGAGGGCUGUUUGCUGUGUGCAGGGCAUAGGAAGGGGAUCUUUUUCAACAUUAAUAGAUGCAGAAAUGUGGACUCCUCAGAAACAAAACCUUUGUGGAAACUCAUCAAUAUGGAGCACACAGGACAGAUAAAGAGCAAUGACAUCUUGACACAGGUACGCAUGAGUCAUGCACAUUUUACCAAAGAAUGGAGUAUUUUUACAAAAGCAUUUACAAAUGCUCCAGAAUCUUUAAGGAAACAUUUUGUUACUUUUCAGUAAUUUCUUUUUUGUAAGCGUUGUGUUUGUGUGUUUGUUCCUCCCCGCCCCCCCCCCCCCCCCC
rnacentral:lncRNA from 1 species